AUUUACGGCUCGACUUCAAGGCUUGUCCGAUUUCUUUAUACAACAAAUGGAGAGAAAAUUCCCAAAAAAAAUCCUCACAAUGUUUCAUCUGCUCUGCACCUCUACUGUGCACACUGAAAAAGAGGGAUGAUGCAUCACAGACAGACAAAGUCUGUGACGAGAUGUCAAGAGGCAGAUAUUCACAUUUUAUUACAUAAUGAAAAGGUCCAAACCUUCAGAUGCACAAGAAAGAAAACGGAGAAAAGAGGAGGAGGAAAAGAAAGUCCAAUAUAGAGGUAUGUCGUCUAAUGUUAACAUAGCUAGCUAAGUAGCAAUAAAGCUAAUGCUAGAUAAUGAUGCUACGAUAGCUGCUGGACUCACAUAUCGUUACAGAUUGAAGGAUAUGAGACUGAAUGACAAGCCAGUAGCGAGCUAUCUGGAUAACUGCUCCUUCCUACAACGUAAGGCUUUGUGCUGAAAUUUCACUGACCAAUAUCAGUGAUAAUGGCUAACGCUAUAUCCAUAAAAACAUAGAUUUCUGCACUGGGUUGCACCAACUAUGUGUAAGCUGGAAUGAGCCACUUGGCAUCGUAGCACAUUGUAGUAAACUGGAGCAAUAGUGAAAUAUCAUAUCAAUAAAUUAGGUCUCUACUGGAUUACUGUGUUGCUAAAUGGCAGCAAUUACAGUUAUGUUGUAACUUAUCUCCGUGGUGAAAGCUUUUAUUUUAGUGAUGCAUAAAUCACAACUUAGUGAUAAUAAUUUACGUUAUAACUAAGUUUGAACUGACACACAGCUGGUGCAACAGGCUGCAGCAGUUGUUUGUCUACUCUGCAGCUACAUGUUUUUGCUUGUAACAGGCUGAUAUCUACUCUAUAACUGUCCAGAUGCUCUCAGGAAAUAUCUGCAGAAGCCUCCAGCUGCUGGAGAAGUUACAUCUGAUCUCCCAUCUACACCACUCUCUGAAGCAGAUUUGCCUGCAGGUGAAGCAACAACAGACACAACAGACACUUCUACUACUCUACAGCCUGCAGACACCAUCAACUGGAACAGAUCCUGAAGUAUGUGAGUCCAUCAAGGCAGCAGCUAUAGAUCCUGCUGACUGGCAGCCCUGUCUGAUAUGGUGAGGACAGAGAUAGUCAGCAGAGGCCAUAUCAGCUAAAAUAAGACUCUACAUUUACAAAAUGAGAGGAUGGGAGAAGUUCCCAUCACCACCACUUCUACAGAAAAUAAGUGAAUGGAGAGAAAAUCAAGAGAAGUUGGUUGGGUAUAUUCCAAGAAAAAAUUUUAAAAAGUCUUUACUACUUCUGCUGCAACCUGUUCUCACAAAAAAACUACAAACUAAUCAGUAAUUGAUUUAAUGACUGGAAAAAUUGCAGUGAAAUACUGAAAACCCACAAGAACAGUCCAGGGAUCUCAUUUGUUGAGUAAGCAGGAACGGGGCCUGAAAGAGGCGUACGCCACUUCCCAAGCAAAAGUUGUGAUCUAUAAAAACAAACUUGAUGGGACAAUGUGCGCACCUGCACCUAAACUCUUACCCAUGCGUAGGAACAUUUUAGAGACAGGGGAAAUCCACGACGCAGAAUUGAAGUGAAUUGAAGGCAGAUUGUAUAAUAAUCCUCUCACACAUUUAAUUUCACUUAAUAUCAAACAUCAAUUAUAGAUCCACAUUAUCAGAAACACUCAAACCAGCAGUGUUAUCUGUACUUUGGCUUGUAGUGAGCCAUAACUUCCAUAAACAUCUUUCAAUUUGUAAAGAUAUAAAGCAACUCAGAUCUUAAAGUCUGCCCAACAUUUCAUCAGUGCUGCCUCACCCGGAGCACAAAGGAGAGAGUCAGUUGUGGAGCAGCAGCAGCUGAAAUGAAUGAUGUCAGGAUGUGGCAGGUGGCAGGAUUCUGCAAAGUCUGGGUUGCCUUUCUCCAAUAUUAGCUAAACAUGAAAAUAUUGAUUCAUUUUCACCUUAGCCACGUUAACUUACUGAUGAAAUGAUCAUCAUUGAUUGUAGAAAUCCAAGAUGACAUCAAAUAACUUCAACAAACGGAACUAAAACAUAUUUAGAGGACAGAGCGUUAAUAGAUUUUUAAUAUUUGGUUAUACUGUGCAUAUAUCACCAAGUAUGAGUUCCCAUGUAGUUUAUAUGUGUAAAAUGGCUACAGUAAACACGGCUGUAUUGUCAAGCACAGAGACACUGGAGACACAGCGGUGGCUGCCACACACACUCUGCCUUCUCCAGUCACCUCACCAGCUCAUCUUCACCACCUGUGCUCACUGUGUCAAUUAGAGAAAUACCUGUAUGCUGGAUUUUGGAGUAAAUAUAAACUAAUAUAGUGUUUAUUGUAUUUUACAUAUUGAGUGAGUGGUGUAAAAACUACUUAUACUGGUUAACUGGGAGCUGGCCCACUGCAGGGUGUGUUAAACAUUUAACCAGAGAUGUCUGACUUAACAAUCCACAGGAAUGUUUAUUGAGGUUGUAUAUGGUUGUUUUGGGUUACACACAUAAUUUCAAUACGUCUGAAAACGGGGAAAUAAAAGGUUAAAUGUCUGUUCAUGCCUGUUGCGGUCCUUCCUCUGCUGCUGCUGAGCACAAGUGACAAGAGAGGCUCCGAUACACUGACUCUCAACACUGAUUGGCCAGGUGUCUAAAGACAGACAGAGUGAUUGGUGCGGCGAAAGAAACACAUGUACAUGAAUAUUCAUGACGGCUUUUGCAUCGACCAUUUAUGGUUGAAUGUGGGCGUGUAGAGGGCGGGAUAUGACGCUGAUCCAUGAGCGCACAUCUCCAGGUGGACUGUGAUUUAUAAAGGGAAAUAUACGUGUAUUCGUGUGUACGCAUGGUUUUAUAAAUCUGAUUAUUUUUCGGUGCGUGCCAUUUUCGGCUUUUGUGCGCACGUACAAUUUUAGUAUGGAUCCUACACACUGUUUUAUAAAUGAAACCCCAGAACAUUGUGGGCACAUGACAUCAUGGAAGGAGUCGUCUAUCCAGUGUAAUCUAUCAAUAACCAAGUGCCAGCGUCUUGGAUGUUACUAACAGGUAAAGGUAGUUAAUAAUAGUAAUAUUUAACAAUUGAUUCAUUCUUUGAAACGUGAUUUGUUUGUUUGAAAAGUAAUUUAUAAAAAUCUAUAUUUUUGUCUUGAAACCAUUGUGGUGUCUGAUGUUUGUUGUCCAUAUUUUUACUGUAGAAUGAGCGGGUGUGUCAUGGACUCAUGGUUAGGGCUCUUUGUGUUUUUUCUUCUUUUGGUUUUCUGUGUUACACUUGUGUUGUCCAGUCUUUUUGCUCAUUCAUGUUAUUUGAGUUGUAUCUUUGAAAGACUGUAUUAGAUUAUUGGUUAGCUUGUAGUGCUGUGUACCUAGGUUGAUUUAUUCAGAGACAGUUUGAUUUAUGCUGGCUUGUUAUUGAGUGCUGUUGUGUUUUCUGGGUUUUACUUUGCUCUGUGUUUCUCUUGUGUGUUCCUUCACUCCUCCUGUUUUCAUGUGCUCCUCCUCUCACCUGCCCUGCAGUAGCCUCGUCGGUCCUGCCCUGCUCCUAGUGUCUUCCCCAGCCUAUCAGCUCCCAGCCUGCCCUUGUAUUGUGCCACCUGUUCCUUGUUGUCUGAUUACUUCAGUUUGUAUUUAAGUUCAGUUUUCAGUUCAGUCUUUGUCGAGUCGUCUGUUCAGUUAGUCAAUUCUGUUCUGUCGUGUUUGUUCAGUUUCCUGCUCAGUCGAUUUUUUUUGUGUCUUGUUCUACUCAGCUCAUCUUGCUUUUGUUUUUUUCCUGCCAGUCGUUGAAAUAAAGACGCUUUUCUUCAGCCCUGCUUUCUGGUCUCUGCAUUUGGGUCCACCUGCUCCUCAAUGUAUGACAGGGUGGUGAUGAGGCAGUACUGGUGGGGUAAUGUGGUUUGGGGGGUGGCACCAAAUCCUGAUCUCUCCUAGGGCACCAACAUGAUGAAUUUUAUCUCAACAAGGAAUUUUUAUUCAUGAAUGUUUCCUGUGGAAAUGACCUUGCUGCACAUCGUCCCUUCUGUCCCUCACAGAGCUGUUUUGCAUUGCUGAGGGAGCAGAUGUGCAGGAGAGACCAGAAGGUGAUUAAUAUGUGUUACAUUGUCUUCUGCAGGAGCAAAUAAAGGCUGGAAACCAAUCCUUUGAGUCGUCUCGUUACAAGUCCUUACCACAUCUGUCACACAUGGACAAGUGAAAGAUAAAUUUACUUGUCUGAAGGACAAGUGCCUCAAAAAGUUAAUGUGGAGCCCUGCAUGCGCACCUGUCACCUGCUGUUUUGGUUCAUGUAUGUGCAGCAGUGCAACGUGUAAAAGGGCUGAGUGAAUAUAGAUCAACUGGUGUG